GUAAAACAUGAACGUGAUCAUUUGUUGUUGUGAAAAACCCGAACAGUCCUACAGAAAUAGUAUUACUGGAACGACAUUGUUUGUAAAUUCCAUUUGUUAAAGGAGUUUUUGUCUAAGGAUGGAUAUCAACCGAUCCCUUGUCAGGAUAGUUUCAAUAAUUGCGUCUUGAAAAGACUAUCAAAAAAUAUAUAUAAGCUUUUCCCAUUUAUUUAUUGUUACAUGUUAAUGUAGGAAUAUAACUUAUAAACGUUUUACCACAAACAUUGAUUUACAUUACAAUAAUGAAUACAAGUAGUCUUGCAGUAAAAACAACAACUUAUGAAAACAUACAGAUAAAGGAUGGUUAUGAUCUACCUGUAUAUGGAAUCGCCGAAGGUACCUUCUAUAAACUUCAUGUGCCAGCAAUGGCAUGUAUUUGUAUAAGCUUUAUAUGCGCAAUAUCAGUUAUUUUAUAUUCAUUCUAUCAGCAAAAUUACUCCAAAUUUUUCGAUUGGUCGAAAAGUGAAAGAUUUGUAGUGUAUAUGGGUCUUUGUGAUGCUCUUUUUAAUGUGUCGCAUUUUAGUGACCAUCUUCAUAUUGUUGUAACAAAGUCGUUUCCAACACCGAAAGGACUAUGUGCUUUUUAUGGAUUUAUGCUUACUGAAUUCAUAACAGCUCAAAAUUUGAUGGUGAAUAUCGUUGCCAUCAAUGUGUUUGUCUUAAUAUAUUUUCGAAAACACAUGUUUUUUGGCAGAUGGGAUUAUCGGCUGUUGGUUUAUAUUUUUGGUGUUCCUGCAAUAGGUUGCAUCAUUGCUGGAGCUUUGGAUCAGUUUGGUCCAAAUGGAGCGUUGUAAGUAAAUAACAUUAUGCAUUGAUUAAAAAACUUAAUUUAAGUUGAAUUUUUGACAAAGUUAUUGAAAAUUAAGUAAAUAAUCAUUUCAAUUCGGUUGACUUUUUCCUAAAAUUGAAAAUUCGUGUCAAUAAAACACCUGUAUCAAAGCAAAUCAUUACCAAUGAUUGAAUUUCAAGUUUUUAAUCGAGUGUUUGAUUGAUUGAAUAUAUUAUUAUUUUUCUACUUUUUUAGUUGACGAUUUCAAAUAUGGAAAAAAAAGGCAAUUUAUGAAUUUUAAAAAUACAAGCUCAAUUCUUACCAUUAAAGGAUGUGCAUGUACACCUCUGAGGAGCCGCACUUUUCUAGAAUUAAACGUUGUCAUACAUUAACCUGAUUUUUGGUUUAUAUUACUGUAAAAAAUUAAUGGGCGAAGAAAAUAUCGAUGUUACACUUUUUUUCAUUUGCUACGGCCCUCCGAUAUCUUCCGCCCCUCUUUUCUAACAUUACUUCAAAACUUUACAUAAUGUACGUUUGCCAAAGUCAAUUACUUUUUUGGCUGCUGUAGCAGUUUUGUGUUAACGUCGACUAUAUUGCUUACACACACAGUGGAUGAAUAUUUUCGUUAAUAAAAAAAAGUCAGAUUUAAUAUUUCCAUACAUCCCUUUUUCGGUUAUACAUAAAAGGCAGCUUAAAGCAUUUUCAUGAAAUAAAAUAUAUAAAUCCGAUGAUUUAUACAACGUCGGCAAUGAACACCAUCAUCCGUCCAUAAGCUAGUCCUUACUGUUAAGUGUAAGUUUAGACAAAAAUAAGUUUCAUGAAUUAUCAAUUAUACAUAACAUAGAUGUCAGACAUGGGGUAAUUGAAAUAUGUAAUUGUAAUUGACUGUAAUUAAUUACAAUUUAUCAUGUAAUUGAAUGUAAUGUGUAAUUGAGCAUUUUUUCAAUUACAUGUAAUUGAAUGUAAUUAAUUACAUAGCCAAAAUUGCCUGUAAUUGACAAUUACUUUUCAAUUACAAGUCAAUUACAUUUGAAAUUUUGGAUCAAAAGAUUAAAUCUUGUGUUUUCUCAAAAAAUUAUUAAAAGCAAUAAUCUUAACAAAUGUUGUAAGCUGACAAAGAAAAGCCUUCACAGUAUACUUUCUGUAUUAACACAACCAUGGUAGAUUCUUCAUUUUGUAUUGAAUGAUAAAAAAAAUGUAGACACAUGCCAUAAUUUUAAAAGAAACCACUAGGAAGUCACUGUCUUGACCUUAAUUAGUAGAUUUAGAUAGAUAUUUUAAGACAUUGAUUUAACAUAAUUAACUUUAUUCAAGGACUUAAAUAACCAAUAAAAUAUAACCUCUGGCUAUUUGUUUUAUUACAAACUAUAUAAUGACUGUUUUUAUAACAGUUAUGUUAAACAGAUAUAAGGCUAAUUAGAGAGAGAUAAAUAUACCCCUAGGGCCUAUAGGUACAUGUUUAAAUUCUUGAAGGGAUAAUGCAUAUGACAAAAUCUCACUUGCAAAAUUUGUUCACUAUAUAUAUGAAUGUUGAAAGAAAACAUUUUAUCAGAUUUAAAAAUGAGCUCCAAGAGUGUACUGGAACAUUUUACUGUUCCUGAUGACUUCCAAAAUGGAAAUACUUUCAAAGGAAAAUGUAUGCAUUGUGGCACCCUCAUUAGUGGAAGUUAUAAAGUUACAUCCAACUUUGUUACACAUAUGAAGGUAAUACUAUAUAAGAAUUUUAAAAAUUAAUAAAUUCAUAAUGCUUCUUUUUCAUUUCUAAUCAGAUUUCAUUUAUCUUAUAUCCUCUAAUAGCUUACAUUUAAAUUUGGAAAAUAUUUUGUUUAUUAAAUUAAUUAGUUGUGAUUAAAACUAAAGUUUAUUUUUGUUUUAAGAAGUCAGAUUUCUAAAUCACUUAUUUAAGAUAAAUAAUUUGAAUAAGCUGGGAUAAAAAUGAAAAUCAUUUCAAAAAAUAAAAAAUAGUGCUCUUUUUUUGUAUCAUUUACAAUCAAAUAAAUUUAAAUAAAUGUAAAAUUUCAAUAGGUAAAUUAAAACAAUUUAAUAUUUUCAAGAUAUUAAAUAAGGCCUUUUGUAAUUUUCAGAGAAAACACAGAGAUUUGUACAUUCUGCAUUCUGAGAAUAAAGAAAUUCAACCAACAUUGACACAAUGCAUAAAAAAAAAAAGUGUAAAAUAUUCACCGUCUGAUCCAAAACAGUUAGAAAUGACAAAUGCUCUUAUAAUGUUCAUAGCUGGGGAUCUUUUUACCACUCUCUAUUGUCGAAAGUGAAGAAUUUAAAAACUUGAUGGAAAAAGCUGACACUAAGUAUCAAGUGCCUAGCAGAAAGCAUUUAUCUUCGAAACUUCUACAUGAAAAAUCGGUUGAAAUAAAAAAUAACCUUGUAAAUACUCUUAAAAGAGCUGAAAGUGUGUGUUUAACCAUUGAUCUCUGGUCUAGUAGACAAAUGAGAGGAUUUUUGGGAAUCACAGGCCACUUUAUUUUGGACUGGGCUAUGAAGUCUGUCAUGAUAUGCUGUAAACGAUUCAAAGGUAGACACACAGCAGAAUCCAUCAGGAGUGAAUAUGAAGAAGUUGUUACUUCAUUUGAAAUAGGUUUUAAAAUUGCUGCAAUAGUCAGUGACAAUGCUAGUAAUAUGGUCAAAGCAUUUUCAAUUCCUGGCUUUGAUGACUUUAAGGUAGAUCAUGAGAGUUCUGAUGAGGAAAUUGAUGAUGUAGACAAAGAAAUUGAAGAUGACCAGUCUGAUGAUUUACAUUUAUCAUAUAUUAUAAUUGUUAUAACUAUAGAGCAAUGUAUAAUACUUAUGUACAUAUCAUAGAAUAAAUGCAUGUUUUCAAUGUUUUAUCUUAAAUUUCCUUUCAAAUGUAAUUGAAGUAAUUAAUUACAUUUGCCAAGUAAUUGGAAUGUAAUUAAUUACAUUGGUAAAAAAAGUCAAAUGUAAUGUGUAAUUUAAUUGAAGAUUUUGUAAUUGUAAUUGAAUGUAAUUAAUUACUUUCAAAUGUAAUUGACCCCAUGUCUGAUAGAUGUACAUGUUAUCUUUUUACAUACUUGUCAAAUUGAAAUAAAAUUACUUUCGUUUCUUUUUCAGCUGCACUUUUGAUGCUAUAAAAGGGAAAACUACAUAUAUAUUCUUCACAACGGUACCGCUUCUAUUAGUCUUAGUUCUAAAUAUCGGUUUGUACACUUUAUGCUGGGGACGAAUUUAUCGGGAGACGCGUGAAAUUAAGGACUCUCUCGGGAAAUCGUCACGAGCAUUACAAGCAUCGCAUAAGGCUGCAAAGACUGUCUCUUUUUGUAACAGCUUUCUUUAUACAAUGGUGGGCUUUGGCUGUAUUUGGGGUAUGCCAGUUGAGUGGAAAUGUUCCGCCACUGUUACUCAAUUUGGUGACAAUUUUCUCAAAUAUUGGAGGUCUGCUGAAUGGAAUUGUUUUCAUAUUUAUUGUACAAAGAAAAAGCGAGAAAGCCAGUGAUAAUGGUUCGCACAAAUCAGGAUCUGGAGGAACUGGUAGUACCCCGAUCCAAUCAAUAAGUCAUCCAACACGUGCAUCACAUGCGAUACGAAAUAGUGAAGUCUGAGGAAAAAUGAAAAGAUCAAAGUUUUGUCUAAAUACUUCUGAUUAAAUUCAUGUUCUUUAAUUAUCAACAAACUCAAAGAUGCUUUAUGGUAAAAUAUAUAAAUGUAAUGCUAAAUAAACUCAUCAUAGAUACCAGG
rnacentral:lncRNA from 1 species